rnacentral:lncRNA from 1 species
CGCUUCUGAAGGCUGAGUAUUCCGCAUUACUGAGAGUGUCUGUGAUGAGAAAUCUGUGGAGUUCUUGUCAGCAAAAGUACUAGCGUAAUAACUGACACACGGGCCGGGGUCAAAGGUGAAGUUCACUGGGCUGAUACCGCGGAUGUGGUGGUGGGUUCCGACGUGAACUGAAGCCCAGGCUAUCCUUGGACUGAGCUGCACCGUGCUGCCCCACGCUUUCUGGCAGAGAAGAGCGCUGGUGUCCCAGGCUCCACCUUGGAAGGGCAGGGGAACAAACCUGAACACCCACAUCCUGGUCAAAGCCUGUCAAUUUUACAGAGGGAACAGUGAGGCUUGACGGGCUGAGCCUGUCUCCUGAAUGACCACGCGAAUCUGCCACCCAGGAGGA